UGAGAAAUGGUGAUAAAUGGUGAGAAAUAUUGAUGAAUGGUGAGAAAUGGUAAUAAAUAGUGGUAAGUGAUGAUAAUAAAUGGUGAGAAACGUGGAUAAAUAAUUAAUUUUCAGCCAGUUUUCAGCAGCCCCCGCUCCCUGAGGUGGCUGAGGGGAGCCUGGUCCUGCAAAGCCUGGCUUAAAUCCCUCAGCUGGGCUCAGGGGAGGCCCUUGGCUGGGCAGAGCUCCCAGUGGGAAAGCAGGGAAUUGUUUUUUCCCUGGAGAUAACAAGGGGGAAAGAAGAAAAAAAGGGCUCCCUGCAAGGUCACUGCGUGGGGAGGGCGAGGAGAGGAGGGGAAAAGGGGGAAUUCUGCCUGAAAAACAGGGAGGAGACAGGGGAGGGCCCCAAAAUGGGCUGAUUUUCCUGGAGAAUAAACACAGGGAGCCUGAAAAAAAGGAUGGAAAGGAUUUUUGGGGUGACAGGACAAGGGGAAGUGGCUUCAAACUGAAAGGGAGCAGAGUUUUUAUAACGUCCAGGGACAAAGUUCUUCCUUCAGGAUUGGGAUACAAGGUGGGUUUGGAAGUUGGGUGAAGCCAAGGUGGUACUUUGGCAUCUCAGGGUGUCCUUGAUGCCCCAAAUUCAGUGCCCUGAGCACCCAGAGAUUGAGAUUCUCUGCCCAACAGCCUCUGGAGCAGAGGGAUUUCUCCCUGGAAAAGGCUGAGUGUGAGGAGAACAGGCCAAGGAGGGAUUUAUUGUGUGGGAGAGAAGGGGAUGGAGAGAGGAGAGGGCCCCAAAAUGUGCUGCUUUUCCUGGAGAAUAAACACAGGGAGCCUGAAAAAAGGAUGGAAAGGGAUUUUUGUGGUGACAGGACAAGGGGAAUGGCUUCAAACUGAAAGGGAGCAGAGUUUUUAUAACUUCCAGGGACAAAGUUCUUCCUUCAGGAUUGGGAUACAAGGUGAGUGUGGAAGUUGGGUGAAGCCAAGGUGGUACUUUGGCAUCUCAGGGUGUCUUUGAUGCCCCAAAUUCAGUGCCCUGAGCACCCAGAGAUUGAGAUUCUCUGCCCAACAGCCUCUGGAGCAGAGGGAUUUCUCCCUGGAAAAGGCUGAGUGUGAGGAGAACAGGCCAAGGAGGGAUUUCCCUUGUGGGAGGGAAGGGGAUGGAGAGAGGGGAGGGCACAAGGAACACCUCAGGAAGCACAAGGGAAGGUUUGGAGCUGCUGAAGAGGAUGUGGAGCCUGAGGGCAGCAAAGCAAAGAGCUGGGGAAAAAGGAGAACGUGGAAUGAACACGGAUUUUCCACGUAUUUCCCACAUAUUACAUGUCUUGGUCUGGACCUGGAUGGUUUCCAGAUGUUUUCCCUCUGGUGCCAGCAGGAUUCCUGCCUGUGUUGUCCUGGGAGCCAGUCCUGGCCAUCCCCUGGCUCCAAGACCUCUUUUCCCUGGGAUUGAAAACCCCUUUUUCCUUGGGCAAUAAUGCUUCCCAUUCCCUGGGAUUAAACCCCUUUUUCCUUGGGCAAUAAUGCUUCCCAUUCCCUGGGAUUAAAAACACCUUUUUCCUUGGGCAAUAAUGCUUCCCAUUCCUUGGAAUUAAAACCCCUUUUUCCUUGGGUAAUAAUGCUUCCCAUUCCCUGGGAUUAAAACUCUUUUUCCUUGGGCAGAAAUCAUUCCCCUUCCCUGGGAUUUAAACCCCUUUUUCCUUGGGUAAUAAUGUUUCCCAUUCCCUGGGAUUAAAAACCCUCUGUCCUUGGGUAAUAAGGUUUCCCAUUCCUUAGGAUUAAAACCGCAUUUUUUGGGAGAACCUCAUUUUUUUCCCUUUUGGGAAACCCCAAUGUUUCCCAUUCCCUGGGCUUAAAAACCCUUUUUCCUUGGGCAAAAAUGAUUCCCAUUCCCUGGGAUUAAAACCCUUUUUCCUUGGGCAAAAAUCAUUCCAUUCCCUGGGAUUAAAACCCCUUUUUCCUUGGGUAAUAAUGGUUCCUAUUCCCUGAGAUUAAAACCCUUUUUCCUUGGGCAAAAAUGAUUCCCAUUCCCUGGGAUUUAAACCCCAUUUUCCUUGAGCAAUAAUGCUUCCUAUUCCCUGGGAUUAAAACCCUUUUUCCUUGGGCAAUAAUGCUUCCCAUUCCCUGGGAUUAAAAACACCUUUUUCCUUGGGCAAUAAUGCUUCCCAUUCCUUGGAAUUAAAACCCCUUUUUCCUUGGGUAAUAAUGCUUCCCAUUCCCUGGGAUUAAAACUCUUUUUCCUUGGGCAAAAAUCAUUCCCCUUCCCUGGGAUUUAAACCCCUUUUUCCUUGGGUAAUAAUACUUCCUAUUCCCUGGGAUUAAAACCCUUUUUCCUUGGGCAAAAAUUAUUCCCCUUCCCUGGGAUUAAAACCUCUUUUCCUUGGGUAAUAAGGUUUUCCAUUCCUUA